rnacentral:rRNA from 1 species
UGUCGUCAGCUCGUGUUGUGAAAUGUUGGGUUAAGUCCCGCAACGAGCGCAACCCUUAUCCUUUGUUGCCAGCGGUCCGGCCGGGAACUCAAAGGAGACUGCCAGUGAUAAACUGGAGGAAGGUGGGGAUGACGUCAAGUCAUCAUGGCCCUUACGACCAGGGCUACACACGUGCUACAAUGGCGCAUACAAAGAGAAGCGACCUCGCGAGAGCAAGCGGACCUCAUAAAGUGCGUCGUAGUCCGGAUUGGAGUCUGCAACUCGACUCCAUGAAGUCGGAAUCGCUAGUAAUCGUGGAUCAGAAUGCCACGGUGAAUACGUUCCCGGGCCU